rnacentral:rRNA from 1 species
GCGAACGCUGGCGGCAGGCCUAACACAUGCCAGUCGCACGAACUCUUCGGAGUUAGUGGCGGACGGGUGAGUAACACGUGGGAACGUGCCUUUUGGUUCGGAAUAACUCAGGGAAACUUGUGCUAAUACCGAAUGUGCCCUUCGGGGGAAAGAUUUAUCGCCAUUAGAGCGGCCCGCGUCUGAUUAGCUAGUUGGUGAGGUAACGGCUCACCAAGGCGACGAUCAGUAGCUGGUCUGAGAGGAUGACCAGCCACACUGGGACUGAGACACGGCCCAGACUCCUACGGGAGGCAGCAGUGGGGAAUCUUGCGCAAUGGGCGAAAGCCUGACGCAGCCAUGCCGCGUGAAUGAUGAAGGUCCUAGGAUUGUAAAAUUCUUUCACCGGGGACGAUAAUGACGGUACCCGGAGAAGAAGCCCCGGCUAACUUCGUG